rnacentral:rRNA from 1 species
CCUACGGGUGGCAGCAGUGGGGAAUAUUGCACAAUGGGGGAAACCCUGAUGCAGCGACGCCGCGUGAGUGAAGACGUAUCUCGGUACGUAAAGCUCUAUCAGCAGGGAAGAAAAUGACGGUACCUGACUAAGAAGCCCCGGCUAACUACGUGCCAGCAGCCGCGGUAAUACGUAGGGGGCAAGCGUUAUCCGGAUUUACUGGGUGUAAAGGGAGCGUAGACGGCAGCACAAGUCUGUAGUGAAAUCCCGGGGCUUAACCCCGGAACUGCUUUGGAAACUGUGUGGCUGGAGUGCAGGAGGGGUAGGCGGAAUUCCUAGUGUAGCGGUGAAAUGCGUAGAGAUUAGGAGGAACACCGAUUGCGAAGGCGGCUUACUAGACUGUAACUGACGUUGAGGCUCGAAAGCGUGGGGAGCAAACAGGAUUAGAUACCCUAGUAGUC